UCAACACACCAUUUCUGUUGGACUGUCAAACAUUUGUGUUUGUGAAGAACAAACCUGUUCUGGUCACAAAGGCUAAAGUUGUGGAAUUUUAAUUUCUUGUAAGUUUAUUAGACUUAAUUUCAGCACCUUUACUGUUCAAAUAGCAGAGCACAACCAUGUUUUUAAUUUGUCUCCUGGUGUGGGGCAGGAUUAGAUGUAACAUGGUUAUAUUACAACGUUAGUACCUAACAGGAGUGUUGAUACAGAAAUCUGUUCUCAAUUUUUGGACUUUUUUUCUAAUCUUUGAUUGUUGCUGAAAUAUUGGAUCAUUUGAACAUUUAUUGAAAUGAAAGCAUGUGAGAAGUUUAGAGGGAAAAAUCACUAUUUGGUGGAGCUGUUAACAACUCAGACAUCUGAAAUGUGAGCCGACUACACACUGCUUUUUGGUUUCAUCUUUAACAAUGUGUUUUAUUUUAAAAGCUUGUUAUAUUAUCCAUUGUGUCAGUAAAGUGAGGAUGCUUUCAACAAUAAUGUCAUGAAUAGUUUUUAUUGAUGAUAGAGUUGGAUGUCAUGAUGAUGAUUAUACAGAUAUACUUAUGAUUAACAUAAAGUAUUUGAAAUCAGUUACAAAUGUAAUGUAAGCAUGGAAAACAUCUCUAAUUAACAUUUGUCUGUGUUUUGCAGUUGUGUGUACUUAAAAACAAGAAUAAAAAAUAGACAUCAAGACUACUGUCUGUGAAUGUGUUGAAAAUAUUGUGUACAAAUCAAAACUAUUACUCAGUACUAAUCAAAACAACA